rnacentral:rRNA from 1 species
CAGUCGUACUUGCGGAUAAUCAACCUUUAGAUGUGAUUCUGUGGAGCGUGAGGAGCUUAACCGCCUUCAAGUUUUGCAUAUUCGUGCACAUUUGGUGUACUUGUCCGUGUGGUGGGUUAACAUCAAUUUCGGUCGUCAUAAAAUGAUUGGAGGAAUGUAGCUUUGAUCUCGUAUCGAAGUGUUAUAGAC